GGGGCCCCCCCCCGUUUUUGUYGGGGGGGCUCCCCCCCCASCCCCUGGGGUGGGCGCCCCCAUUUUUUWCCGKGAAAAUUACCCCCCYAGCARCUUGUGAGAUGGCCCAGAUCGUUUACCGUGAAAAAAUUAGAGUGUUCAAAGCAGGCAGAUCCAAUUUUCUGCCACCGAAUACAUUAGCAUGGGAUAAUGGAAUAGGACCCUGUCCUCCUAUUUUCAGUUGGUUUUGGCAGCGCGAGGACUAGGGUAAUGAUUAAUAGGGAUAGUUGGGGGCAUUAAUAUUUAAUUGUCAGAGGUGAAAUUCUUGGAUUUAUGAAAGAUUAACUUCUGCGAAAGCAUCUGCCAAGGAUGUUUUCAUUAAUCAAGAACGAAAGUUAGGGGAUYGAAGACGAUCAGAUACCSUCGUAGUCUUMMCCAUAAACCCCCCGWCCUUYGAUUAGGAGACKUUCCCCCAACCCCCCCCCUUUGCCCCAYUUUUUUCUCCCGUCWYACUCCCCCCGCAMCUUGGAGAUGGCCASAUUUGUUUMCGGGC
rnacentral:rRNA from 1 species